UACGAGGGGGGCAAAUGUUGUUCGGAAUCACUGGGCGUAAAGGGUGCGUAGGCGGGUCUUUAAGUCAGGGGUGAAAUCCUGGAGCUCAACUCCAGAACUGCCUUUGAUACUGAAGAUCUUGAGUCCGGGAGAGGUGAGUGGAACUGCGAGUGUAGAGGUGAAAUUCGUAGAUAUUCGCAAGAACACCAGUGGCGAAGGCGGCUCACUGGCCCGGUACUGACGCUGAGGCACGAAAGCGUGGGGAGCAAACAGG
rnacentral:rRNA from 1 species